rnacentral:lncRNA from 1 species
AAUGUAAAAGCUAUUAACAGUGUGGCUGAGAACUUGCCUGAGGUCAAGCCUCCUUCCCAUCAUCAGAUUGUUUCCUGGUUAGCAGCCUUUGUGAAGGAGUUUUUGUGUGGUGAUCCCUCUGCUAGCAUUCUGUGCUUCAAACAAGACUGUUUAACUGAAGACAGACCAAAGUACCAGCUGAUACACUGAAGAUCCUGCAGGAGAUUUCCUCUCUUGUUCAAGCUUCAAUCAUGACUUCUGCAGAAACUUUGGUGCUGUGAAUUUCACUAACCCUGCUGAGAAGCAAGGAGAAGGAAACGAGGUUCAAGACAUCCAAGUCAAGACUUGUGGAACUGGUGUCUUGUUUUGCUCAGUCCGUUUGACAGCGGAGCUGUCUGAGACCUUUCUGAUCAGGUGUUUUUGAGGCUGCAUCGACUUUACUGCUAG